GAUGAACGCUGGCGGCGUGCCUAAUACAUGCAAGUCGAGCGAACGGACGAGAAGCUUGCUUCUCUGAUGUUAGCGGCGGACGGGUGAGUAACACGUGGAUAACCUACCUAUAAGACUGGGAUAACUUCGGGAAACCGGAGCUAAUACCGGCUAAUAUUUUGAACCGCAUGGUUCAAAAGUUAAUGACGGUCUUGCUGUCACUUAUAGAUGGAUCCGCGCUGCAUUAGCUAGUUGGUAAGGUAACGGCUUACCAAGGCAACGAUGCAUAGCCGACCUGAGAGGGUGAUCGGCCACACUGGAACUGAGACACGGUCCAGACUCCUACGGGAGGCAGCAGUAGGGAAUCUUCCGCAAUGGGCGAAAGCCUGACGGAGCAACGCCGCGUGAGUGAUGAAGGUCUUCGGAUCGUAAAACUCUGUUAUUAGGGAAGAACAUAUGUGUAAGUAACUGUGCACAUCUUGACGGUACCUAAUCAGAAAGCCACGGCUAACUACGUG
rnacentral:rRNA from 1 species